GAUCAACAAGGAAAAUUCAUAUUCAAGUUACUAGCAGCUUCGACACCAGCAGCUGACUCUAUGUGUAAACUAAAAUCUGAGGGUACUUUUAGUAAAGAGCAUGGGUAAAAGUGACAUGCCACUUGUUAGUAAUGAUACCAAGAAGCAACAGGGCCACACUCUAAUACAAUCCUGAUAAAGAAAGCAAAGUAAUUCAAGCAUGGACAUCACCCAUCUAUGCUACACUCUGAAAUAGAGCGAAACACAAGAGGCCUCUCCUAGCAAUCACAACAAUUGCAACUUACAAGGGGAACGGGUUUAUCAUUUCACUGGGCAGGACAAGUCAAUGUACAGUUGGCCUCCAAUAUCAUGAUAGGUCAAACAAACUUGAUGAAACAUAUAAACACUCAAGUGUAUGAUGCAUUACUGCAUGGACCACCACAAAAUAUCCAUUUAUCAUUCCCAACAAGGCAACAAAAUCUUGAUGAAACCUAAGAAGAAAAAUCACUGUAAAAACCUCAACAGGUUUGUGUCUUGCUGAAAAUAACAAAUAGUUCAACAGUUGAAUAAUAAUGCACCUUUAACGUCCAUCUCCAACAAAAGUAAUUCUUACACCCAGGAGCCUUUCCAUAACCCUGCAUCGACAAGUAAAAUAAGCAGAGCACUAACAACAGGGCAAAAUGACAUGUACUUCCUCCGUUCUAAAAUAGAUGACUCAACUUUGUACUUGUACUAAAGUUAGUACAAAGUUGAGUCAUCUAUUUUGGAACGGAGGGAGUAGCAAACACCUAAUCUGGAGAUAAGUGGACAUAUGAAAGGUUUAAGUACAGACAGCAUGUAAUGCUUACUUUGUUACAAAAAAAAAAACAGAUCAUGAUAACUACAACUUAUCUGCUUGACAACUAGAAGUUAAACUAAUUCUAGCAUGCUUUGGCAGUUACUUUGGAAGUUAAAGAAAGUACUGAAAUUCUUUGUCUUUUCAGAUCAAACAUAGUUCAAAACCUUAAUUUUCCCUUGCGAAAAUCAUACAGACACAGGUAUCAAAUUUUACUAUCCAUCACUGAACUUCAAUGAUAUCUUUAUCCAGAUGAACACCCAAGAUGGCAGAAAUUAAUUCAAGUACAGAUUAUGUUGCCAGUUGGAAGUAAUGUGCCCCCAAAAGCUAGCAGAUUAUGUGCAGCUUUUCGUACAAAAAAGAAUAGUAGGGGCAAGUAACUAAGAACCUGCAGUCUCUGCACAAAUUCAGACCAUGUAUUCAGAGUAUGGAUGUACAUGAUACCAACUGUUUGGUGCGUAUAUUCACAAUCACACCAACCAAAGCAAUAAAUUAAUCACUCAGUUUUUGCUAAACUGAAGAAGAGCUAGCUCAGACAUAGAAGGAAGAAACACUACCUAGCUGCUAGUGAACCUUCUGGUGGUGCUUGGCACAAAGAAUUACCCACAGGACCAAAACACAAUAAUGAACUAAAAUCUUAAGCUGCCAUCCACAAUAAACACAUAAUUUAUGGCAAUCGUGCAGAGCAGGAUAUAAUACACCUAAGUUUACUAGCCGCAAGUGUUUCUCCAUUGUCUCAAUAACAUUACUAGCAUAAGAAUGGACAGACACACCUAAGUUUAUUUACUUAAACUUAAAUGAUG
rnacentral:lncRNA from 1 species